rnacentral:lncRNA from 1 species
AUUUGCAGAACCAAUACUAUUGCUGGGCCCGUAACUCUAGGACAGGGCCAGAUUCCUAAAGCCUCCAGGUCCCACUCAGUCUUCAGGUCCCAGAUCUCCUUCCCACAGCACGUCCCGUUCUGGCCCAGAGUACAGAGGUUAAUCUGUGAAAUGCUGGAGAUAAAUUCCGAGUCCCCUCUUUGGAGCACCCGGGCGGAGCAGAGCAUCUCUGGAGACUGGCGGAGUUCUGGACACCUUACCCCGGCUUAUAAAUGGAAUCCCACUGCCCGCAGGCCGGGAGACGUUGCGGCAUCCCUGAGGCCCCGGGACUUGAUUCCAGGGGGGAAAUCAGAUGGGCAGAGGUGUGGCAUGUCCAGCCCGCUCUCUUCCGCCCAGGCUCGAGGAUCCCCUCCCCAUUCCCCCUCCCCAGUCCAGCUGCUCAACUUGGUCACUGGAAGCCUGUGGGGCCCUGAUGCGGGGUGGUCGCUGAGGAAAGGUUCUCCAGGGCGGGGGUGUGCUCCGCAGGAGAACUCUUGGCCCGCCGGACAAUGGCAGUUUCGGAGAGUGAAUCGUCCUCAGCGAGUGUUUGUUUUUUGGAGGGGGUGGUCACGAGGCUGGGCCGCAACCUAGGGGGACGAGCCUAGAGUUCAAGGAGAGGGGGGCGGGCAGCGGGAACCGGACAUCGCGUAUCCACUAAACAGAUUUCUCCACAAUCGGAAACGUGGCGGUGGAUUCCCAAACGACCGCCCCACCAAGUGGUCUGCGCAGUCCCCCUGCGCCUCCUCCUCUCUGCAGCCUGCGGGUCCCGGGUCCCUACUCAGCGGUUUGAUUUUUGACCAUCUUGGAGCGUUGGACUCUCCCUCCGAAGCCCGGCCCCAGCUCCGGCUUCCCGCUCUCCCGCCUCGCCCGCACCGGGAGGCAGCGUCAGGGAGGAGCGGCCUGUCCGCGCCUGGAGAUCAAAAGCCCUCCCGGAAUUGACAUUUCACCCCGGGAUGGGGGCGGGGGUUGUUGGGGUUUUCCCCCCUCCCC